rnacentral:lncRNA from 1 species
CAGCUUCCAUACCCAUCAUCCACAGAGAUGUGAAGACUGCAAAUAUACUCUUGGAUGAAACUUACACUGCCAAAGUGUCUGACUUUGGAGCUUCUAGAUUGGUUCCUCUUGACCAAACUGAAAUAGCCACAAUUGUGCAAGGAACCUUUGGGUAUUUAGACCCAGAGUACAUGCAAUCAAGUCAGUUGACAGAAAAGAGUGAUGUCUAUAGCUUUGGGGUAGUGCUUGUAGAACUACUAACAGGGGAGAAACCGUUCUGUUUUGACAGGGCAGAAGAGAAACGAAGUCUUACGGUUCACUUUCUAUGUAGCUUGAAAGAGGAUCGUCUAUUUGAUGUUCUUCAGGUGGGUAUUUUGGAUGAAGAAAACAAGCAGGAGCUUAUGGAGGUUGCUAUUCUUGCUGCUAGGUGCCUGAGACUUACAGGGGAGGAAAGGCCUAGCAUGAAGGAAGUGGCAAUGGAAUUAGAGGGAAUAAAGCUUAUAGAGAAACACCCUUGGAUCAAUACAGGCAAAAACUUUGAGGAGGGUCAAUACUUGCUUCAUGAGGCACAAAGCUCCCAUGAACAUGGUGAUAGUAGUAGUGCCCAACAAAAUACUGGAUAUGAUAGCUUGAGAGCACUUGAAUUAAUUGACUUUGGUAAUGGAAGAUGAUCAGCGCUCAUGACAGAACAACAUGCAGUUCCACUUCAGUUUAUUUCAAUAAACAAACAUAUUUCUACAAUCAUUAUUUCAUGUAGUUAGCAUGGUUAUAAAUGAAUUAUGUUUGAUGUUUUGUGUAACAUAUUUCUACCUUUUUUGCCAAAUUACUUUUGUCCAUUUUUUUUACUCAUUUUAACAUCUUUGUUCCUUUUUUUAUUUACUUUUAUCUGCAAGAGAAAACAAGUUGAAACAUAAUUUUGAUUCGAAAAUUGCUUACAAAUGUAUUAGUAGUUACACGAAAUUGAAAUGCAAGUCUAUUUAUGCGUAGUGAAGAACAAAUAAAUUUUGAGAAAUAGAAAACUUACACUUUUGUUAAAGGAAAGUGAAGACAGAGAGUGUGAUAUUUUUGUGUGGAUUUACAUUAAUAUCCUCAUUUGUGUUUUGCAAUCUUAAAUAAGAGUGUAUUGACAAAGUUAACACUCUUCAUGGCCAUUGGUUAUCAGUCAAAGAUAAAAUUCCUAAGAUGAUAAAGAGAAAUAUUUGACUUGAUGUAUAAAGUUGAUCUUUGUUAGGAUUACUUCAUUAAAAUAUUGUUCAGACUUCUAGAACAUCUAAGCAUAUCCAAGAACAUCUAAGAUAGGUGUCUUCUAGUAUCAAUGUUGAUUGUCUUAGUAGAGCAUCUAGUCAUUUAGUAUCUAUUAAGACUAAUUCUAUAUUGAGAAUCUGUUACCUACCUUUUAAAGUUAUAUGUUUGGUUGAUUAAUUUUGGGAUUAUUUUUGUCUAGAAAAAAAAGUGUGAAUAAGAUUUUGUAAAUAAAGUAAAUUAAUCCAAGUACAUACUAAAAAUGUUAUUUCUCACUGUGAAGUGAUGUGGGAAAAUGGACAUUUUUUCAUGAAUAUUAAAAAAAUUCUAUAAAAGGUUUUCAUAUCAACAUUUUACUUUCUAUUUAUUUUACUUGUUUUGUUGAAAGAUAAUAGUAAUACCAGCGUUGAAAGUGUAAUUUUUCUAUAUAUCGUAAUCCAAUCACAAACCUUUAUGUAUGAUAAAUUUAUUGACUUUUAUUAAUUUUUUAAAAUUAUAUUAAUAGUAUAAAUAUUCUUACCCUAAAAAUCCAUGUCUAUUAAACUCCAGUAUAGUUAUAUAAUCAAAUUUUGAGUGAUAUUAGAUUUAUCUUCUUAAAUACAAUUUUAGAUUCGCAGUUAGUUAGAUUUUUUUUCAUGUAAAUUAAUAACUACCAAAGUAAAUAGAUAGUUUAUUUGAUUUAAUAUAAUUUUAAAAAUAUUUAUAUAAUUUUCACAAUAACAAAUAAUAAAGUGUAACUACUUUCUUUAAUUUGUGGUGAAAUAUCAAAGGAACUGCAUUCAAGGUAUAUCAGCUUCACAGAACUAAUAUUUUUAAUAAUUUUUCUCAGAAUUUUCAGUUUUUUCUCUUUUUCAUUUCAAAUGGUUAUGUCGUUUAAGGCAGUUGCUUCCUGCACCCCUGCAUAUUUUUUCCUGCACCCCACAAUAUUAUGCAAAGACCAAACUGUUCCUGUUAUUUUUAAAAAACCCUAAAAUGCACUUGAACUGUAUUUAUCUUUUUGCAUUAUGGAUUAUGGAAUCCAGAAAAAUUUCGGAUUGGCACUUCCAGUAAAAUUUCAUAUCCAUCAAUCCGUAAUUCAAAAUAUGCAUUUCAUGUCCCAAAAUUCAUCAUUCAAAAAAAGCAUUCUGGAUCCAUCAAUCAGUAACAGAAAUAUGCAUUAUGGAUUUAGAAAUCCAUAAUUAAAAAAAAAAAAUUCCGAAUCCACCAAUCCGUAACAGAAUUAGGCUUCCAGAUUCAGCAAUCCAAAAAUGAAUAAUUUAUGCAAAAAUUGCUUUUGGAACACCCCCUCAUCCAGAAAAAAAUAUUCAGUUCUGGAUUGAUGAAUCCGUAGCACACUCCCAAAUCCCUAUUUCCGAUAAUCACAAUGCCCUUUUUCAAAUAAAAGAUUUGGGGUUUAGAAAAUUGUGGGGUGUGGGAAGAAAAAUGUAGGGGUGCAGGAAGAAGAAGCCAUCUUUUAAAUGCCAUUGCACUCAUUUAAGCUUUCUUGUAGCUCAAUUGAUAAGGCCCAUUUGCGGCUUUCUUCUGCAAAAGACCGUUCUUCGUUUGUCAAGGCUCGGGAUCACAAGAUAUUUGUUGAUAUUUUCCACUUAACUCUAGGUAUGAUUAUCCUUUUGUAUACUUCAUUUUUUCUGUAGCAUUUAUGAUUUGUUCACCACAUUAUUGUCAAGAAAAUAUUACAUUUAGGCUGAAAUUGGUUUGUUGAAAAUUUCAUUUAAGGUUGCAAGUUGAUUUUACCAAAUAUAAAUCAUUCUUCUUGCUACUAGUAAAUUGUAAUGGAUAAAUUAUUAUAUUAUAAUAUUCAUAUUUAAUUUAUAGUGCUCACAUUAAUGGAGAAGCUAUAGUUUGGAUAUUAUGUGAUGAAACAUAUGCAUAAAACUAUAUUGACCAACAUUAAGGGUCCGUGGAAGGAGAUAAUAUACAACUAACUCAAAUAUGUUAAAUAUAUUAAAUAUGUUAAAUGUUAAUUUCAUCUUCAAUAUUUAGUUAUAUACUAGUGAUCCAUCUGAGGAAGGCUUACAAGAGGUUUGAGAGUAGUUGACAUUAUUUCUUUUAAGUAUUUACAUAGUUAUAACUAGUUAACAAUUUUAUAUGAAUAUUAAAUGUUAGUAAAUUUUAUAAUUAUUAUGCUAGAUUUUAUUUUGAAAACAUUUACUUGAGCUUAUUAUAUAUGGCAAAAUAAAUAUAUCAAAAAAAAAUAACACUUUCUAUAAUUGAUUUAUUUUUUGUAUGGAAUAUGUUCUCUCUUUAUGCAAUUACAUUCGAUUAGUUUCUACAACAUUUUGCAUUCUAUUAUUCUCUUUUUUAAGACAGUUCUUUUAUGUUUGAUGUAAAAUCGAUAUAAAAAGGUAAUUUCUCUAUUCUUUUCUCUUCCUUCUUUUCUCUUCCUAACUAUCAAUUCUCCUCCAGACAUGUAACUUGAUAAGGACCUAUUCAUUUGCUUUAAAGUUAGUGGAAAUUAAUUUAAACAGGACUGAAAUUUAAAAUUCAAUUAAAAUAAAAUAUGUAUCCAAGUUUAACUAUUAUGUUUUCAUCAAAAACAUAUAUCAUGAUAAGAAAAAUGACGAAUAUUGACUAAGCGGUUAAGUCUCUGCCAAGAAUUAACAGAUGUAAAAUUAAACAUAUUUAAAUUGUUAAUAAUAAAAAAUUGUCAUACAAUAAUAUAAAACAAUAAUAAUGGAAAUAUUUAAUUAUUUGGUAACCCAGUGGAUACAUCAAUAUUUUUUUUCAGCCAUCUACAUGAUAAUCUUAUGUUAAAAGGUACAGUAUUAGUUAUAAAUAUGAACCUAAUGGAUACAUAUGUAUCCUUUGUCAAAGAUCAGAACAAGUCAAAAAGAAUUAAUCAAAUAGAUUUAUAAUAUAUGCAGUGUAUCAACAUGUCAAUUUCCAAUUAAAAUAAUCAUAUAAAAGAAUUUAUCAUGGAAAGAUGAACAUGUGUGUGAUGUUUUAACUGUCAUGUGUUGACAUGUCAAAGUAUAUAUUCUGAUAAACCAUAUGAAUGCCAAGUCUUUGGGUACUUUUAAAGCAUGUAUGAAGUUUUUUUUUUAUGUUUUCAUGUCUACAAUUUCUUUAAUUCAACUUAAGUUUUAUUAGUUUUGUAUUUUUUACCUUUGGACCAGGUUUCAUUCUUUGGCUAUUAUGUUUCUUCUCACUUUUAUUUAUUCUUCAUCCACGUUUACGCCAUGUGUAAAUUUGAAAAUAAUAAAAAGUAAUAGAAACUUGCUCUGCCACAACUAUGGUGAAGAAUUCAUUAAACUUUAUAAAACCUUAAUAAAGUGAGGCUGCAUUUCACUUCCAUAUUGUUUUUAUAACUAAUAUUUGUUCACGUUGUAAUUAGUUACUAAAAUUUUAACAUAAUUAAUAGUUAUCUUGGUAAUUAAUAGAUAUUAAUUUAAAAAUUAUUUAUUAAUAAUAUAAAUUAAUUUAAAUAUUAACAAUUUUUUUAAUUUUUAAAAUAGUAUCUAAUUUAGUCAAUAUAUCAAUUAAUCAUUUUUGUUUUAAUUUGAUGAUUUUCUAAUAAUGUAUAUGAUUAAUCAUUUGGUUAGUCCAAUCUUUAACAACAUCUAAUGUUUGAAUACAUGGAUUAUCAUCACCACAUGUCUUCUCACUCUCUCUAUUAACGAGUUCCAUCCAUAUACAACACUUUUCCUUCUCUACUGUAUCUUUUUUCUAGUUAUCAACUAUCUUUGCAACUUUCACAUGGACACCUCCAUUUGCAACAAUCUUGUAUCAUUCAUGGACUAUUAUUAGCUUACAAUGCUCUCACAAGGACUUGAUGGUUAUGGUCAAAACGACAAAGACAAAGACAAUACUAAAAAUUCAACUUUACUUCCUCACGCAUCUACCAAACAUAACCCUCAAAGAAGACGUAGACGACAAAAAAGAAGAGUACCUUAUGGCACGAUCUCUCAUAAAUAAAUUAUUUCCCUAUUGUAAUAGUACUAAUUAUCAAUUUUAAUUUUAAUUUCAAUUCCUAACUUACCUCUUAUUUUUUAUAAAUACAUAAAUAAUCAAAACAAUAAAAUAAACACAAAGUAUGUUAACAUAUUUAGUUUUUUUUUUAAGUUAUUGGACUUUGUUAGUUUGGCCCUUUUUAAGACUAAUUAAGACAUGUUUAAUUGUAGUAUAAGUAGUAAAAACGUUCAAAUUGUGGUAAACAUGACCGUGACACCAUAAUCAAUAAUCCAAGAUUCUUUUAUAGCAGACAGUGAAGAGAGAAACUUACUUGUUGAAGAUUGCUUAGUAUUGGGGAUUUCAUCCGCAGAGAAGGUGCCGACUUGAUUAAUUUGAGUGUGAGGGAUAGGAUCCUCAAGGUUUUGCUAACGCAAAAUGUUGGUCAGGAAUUGGCACUGCUGUGAUGUAAGUUGAAUCCCCUUUACAUCCUAUUCUUUAGGAAAAAACUCAAAAAAAGUGUCAGUAGUAAUCAUAUUAUUGGUUUGGGAUUUAGGGUUGAAAUCUUCACUUUGGCUCAACUAAAGACGUGGACGUGGCUUACCAGCAAAGAGAAUCUAACUGAAUUUACAUACACCCGCUGGUGCAUAAAUCCUACAGAAUGUAUGAAAUCUAUCCGGAAGAGAAGAUGAAGAAGGAGGGGUUUGUUUUAAUAGGAAGAAGUCUCGUAAAUUACAGCUGUAAACUUUUUUAGUUUUGUUGUCGUGAUGUUUCUGAGAUUAGUGCUACUAAUGCUCUUAGAGAGCUAGUAGUUAGUUGUUUGCAGAUCCAACUGAAGUCACGGCAAAGGCGAUUCAAAGCUUGUUUAUGGUUGAAAGAUAUGAUGAAUGUUCUGCUAGGCAAAAAUCUGACCUAUAAGCCCAUGUCCAAAUAUUGUCAAUGCUGGUCAACGUUAUGCAGUUUCUUGCACGUUUUGUGUGGUUAGUUGACCAGCUAUUGGUGCUUAAAAGAUGAGGAUGUGCGAAGAUUUUUGUAGCUUUUGGAAGUAGACUAGCAGCAGAGGUCGUGCCUCACUUUGACAAUAAAAUGUAGUGCACAAGGUUUGGUAUUGCUGCAAUGGGUAGGGAGCUAGCUAGAUUUCAAGUUUUUAGAUUGUUAAAAUUCUAGUGGCUAGAUAGCCAUCAAGUUUUUGGUUUGCUGUUUUUUGCAAAACCAAUUUUGUUUGGGUAGGGGCUACUUAAAUAGUUUAAGAUUCUUGAGUUAAGUGGUGUGUCACUUAAUCUUGAUUUGCUUUGUUGAUUUUUAUUCUAUUAAUUCAUUGCUGAUAAAAAAAAGUAAUUAUAUUAUUGGUUUGGAAUGUCCAAUUGGUGAAUUUGUAGCCAGGAGGAAACCCAUACUUUUUAUAAAAAUAGCUUUGAUACCAUAUUACAAAGUGAACUUUAAGCCUAACUCAACCCCAUAAAACCGACUCAUGAGGUGAGGUUUGCACCCACUUAUAUAUAAUCAAUUGUCCUCAUCUCUAAUCGAUGUGAGAUCUCCAACAAAGUAAUAAAAAAAAUAUAUAUAUAUAAAUACAUAAAAUAAACAAUUUAACUUUCAUAUGUUAAAGUUAAUCAGAAAACAUUUAUAUAAACACAUGCACUUCCAAACUUCAUCAUUUAAAAGAAAAAAAUACAAACAAUAAUGAAGCAAGUCGUGUUACCCUCAUAAAUACCAACAACACUAAACUCGAGACUUCCUGGCAUGACUUUAGCUAAAGUUCCAUAAUAGAAGGUUUUCCUCCCUGCAUAACUUCAGCUUCAACCCUAACUUCAUUUUAAUCGUGUCAUGUCUUUAUUUAUAAUUUUUUUUAAAAAUCAGAUAAUUAAAUUAAACAAAGUCGUGUUUGUAUACCAUCAACAUGAAAGUCGUUGUGGGAAAACAAGACUUCAAUUAGAUAAUCAAAUAUGAGGUUGAACUUAUAUUUAUAAAAGACAACUUAAAAUAGGUUUCUUUCAGUAAUAUCAAACCAAUGCAUUAUUUUCGUAAAUUUUCUCCACUUGUAUUUAAAAUCCAUGUAAAAACUCAUUCUUUCCUAAAUUUUUAUUUUUAAUUUAGGUUAAUUAGUGUUAUGUUUUUUAUAAUGUAAGACAAAUUUUUUAUUUUGAAAUUAUUAUAGCCGUAACUCUAUGAAAGAGCUGGCCCGGUCAAUCUAUAUUCCUCUCUUAGGUAUAAAUUGGAUCGAAAGUGGUAUUGAGCACAUAUAACAAAAAUGAGAAUUAAGGAGACGCAAAAGCAUCUGACCAGACUGACCGUGAUGUUACUGAUGGCUUUAGCAGCAGCCAGCCAAGCCCUGCCCGGCUGCCAGGACUCCUGCGGAAGUGUUUCAUCAAUUCCGUAUCCAUUUGGCAUCGGCAAUUCAUCGGUCACCGGUCAUAACUGUUUUCAGGAGAAAGAAUUGGAGCUUACAUGCAGAAACUCAACCUUAUAUCGCGGCCAAGGUAACGCCCAAAUUAUUAACAUAAGCCUCGCUGGUAAAAUAGACAUGCUCAUGUUCAUCUCCAAGGUUUGCAAAAACGAAUCGCAAGGUAACCGCCCCAGUCUCAGAUCACCGGCUUUCACAAUUUCUAGUGAAGACAACAAGUUCGUAAGCGUAGGGUGCGACACUUACGGCUAUCUCAACAGUUUUCGCAACGGUACAACAUCUUCAACGGGGUGCUUGACGAGACGCGACAGCUUAGAGAGCGUUGAAAGCAUGCAGAAGCGGAAACUGUACGGGCAUAGGGUGUUGCCAGGUCGACAUUCCUCCUGGGAUGAAGAAUAUUAGCUUGCGAGCAUACAGCUUCAACAAUUUCAAUUCCACUUCCGAUUUCAACAAGUGUGGAUACUCCUUUGUGGUAAAAAUGGCAACUACAGUUUCUCCGUCGAUCAUUUGAAGGGCAUCAACUUCACUAUGGCACCCAUGGUCAUGGAGUGGAGUGUAGGAAACGACACGUGCGACGCUUCCAUGCAUACAGCAGAUUAUGCAUGCAAGAGUGAUAAUAGCUAUUGUCAGAACUCGCCCUAUGAAUAUGGUUACCGAUGCCAAUGUAAUCCAGACUUUGAGGGAAACCCAUACCUUCUCCAUGGUUGCCAAGGUAAUUCAUUCAUUUAUCACUUAAUUAUGCUAACCUUCAUUCUACAUUCAGACAAAUUUAAGAAGUUUUCUGAACUAAAAUUAACUUACAAAUUUUUCUCAACCUAUCCUAAUCCACUCAAAUGACGUCACCUCAGUGUGUUCAAACAGCUGGCCAUUGAAAUAUAUAUAGCAUGAUGGGUUGACUUAUAAGUCUCUUUAGAGAUUUCAUGAAUGACAUAAUAAGUUAUAUUAUAAUUAGAAUCAAAAGAAAUAUAUUUAUUAGUUUAAGCAGCUUUUUUGACUGAAAAUGUAUUAGGGAGUUUCUUACGGCGUGCUUUUGAACUAGUUAUUUGUGUGGCCUUUGUAGACAUUCCGGAGUGUGCACGUAACCAACACAAUUGCGAUAGUGAAGAUCAUUGUAGAGAAACUUCUGGCUCUUUUGAAUGUUUCUGUCCUGACGGACUCAUCGGAAAUGGGACAAAAGAAGGCGGAGGAUGCCACACAAAGCAGCCGCAUGAUCCAUUUAACAAAAUCAUCAUUGGUAAGCAAAUUACAAUUUCGUUUCAGUUUUGUUUUCCUUACCUUAAACCACUAAUAUUUUUAAUUACACAAGCCUGGUGAUAUUUUCACAAUCUAAAUUUGUAAUAUAACUUUCCCAUAACUCAUUUUGUUCAUUAAAAGAUAGUUAUCAUUUUGUUCUCUUAACAAAAUGGCUAUUCAAUACAAAAUUAAUAAAUAAGUUGUAUGAUUAUAUAAAAAUGAAUUACAAAGGAAACACUUAUUUAAUAAUCAAUAUUUAAUAGUUUAAUUGUUUUACUUAAAAUAUUAAUAUACAUUAUUAAAUUAUUAAAGUGAAUGAUAAAGUAAUUAUUUUAUUUAGCUAAGUGAGAAAUUAUAUGUUUAACUUAUCUGUGUUUAUGUUUUGUCAUAUUAAUAGUGACAAAGUUGUUCACCUCUUCCAGUUAAAAAUUAAUAUUGAUGGUGUUAAAUAUGAGUUUUUUUAGUUUAUGGCUUGAAUGUCCUUGAUUUGUUCUGUUUUUUUACUACUAGUUUUUCUAGUUUACUUAUUUCUUCGUAAUAAGUGGAACAAAUGCCUUGAUUAUUAUGAGAAAUCAAAUUUGGAUUUUUCACAUUUUUCGUGAAGACAAUGUUUGUGCUGACAAACUUGUUAACUUAGGUUUUAUCCAUAGGGAACAAUUUCAUUGGUAUAAUAAGGUUUUAUUCUUAAAAUUCUUUAUUAAUUAGUAUAGAUUACUUAAGCAUUUCUUUUCAUAGGUUUUAUUUUAUAGAUUUUGGCCUAGUCCCCCAUAUUUGCUUGUAUUUUUUUUUGUCAUUUUUUAAAAGUACUUUCCUCAUGUGGUGACAGAUAAUUGUUGAAACUUAACAUGCAAAUCUAGCUGACAUGUCAAGUUUUAUAAUGAUACCUAACACCGUAGUUUUUUUAUUAAAAAAUAAUUAUUUUAUUUUUUAAGAAUAUCAAACUAUUAUAUUUUAUAAACAAAAUUGGAUUGUUGAAAUAUCAUAUUUUAUUAUUAUUUUAUUAUAUUCAUAUUUUGGUAACAGGUGCAGGUGUAGGAUUAAUUGCUCUGUUUAUAGGAGUUUCUUGGCUAUACUUGAUGUACCAGAAAAGGAAAGUCUUGAAAUUAAAGGAGAAGUUCUUUCAGCAAAAUGGAGGCAUCAUUCUAAGACAGCAACUCUCCACUAGGGAAGACUCAUCUCAGUCCACUACAAUUUUCAGUGCAGAGCAACUUAAGAAAGCCACCAACAAUUUUGAUGAGAGCUUAAUCGUAGGUAAAGGAGGUUUCGGUACUGUUUUCAAAGGACUUCUCUCAAAUAACAAAGUUGUUGCUAUCAAAAAGUCCAAAAUAGUGGAUCAGAGCCAGGUGGAGCAAUUCAUUAAUGAGGUCAUUGUACUCUCACAAAUUAAUCACAGAAAUGUGGUCAAACUCUUGGGAUGUUGUCUAGAGACAGAAGUUCCCUUACUAGUUUAUGAAUUUGUUAACAAUGGCACCCUUUUUCAUUAUCUACAUAAACAAGGAGAGGUGGUCAAUGUGUCUUGGAAAAUGUGUUUAAGGAUAGCUACAGAGACAGCUGCAGCUCUGUCAUAUCUACACUCGGUAGCUUCCAUACCCAUCAUCCAUAGAGAUGUGAAGACUUCAAACAUACUUUUGGAUGAAACUUACAAUGCCAAAGUUUCUGACUUUGGAGCUUCAAGAUUGGUUCCUCUUGAACAAACUGAAAUAGCCACAAUUGUGCAAGGAACCUUUGGGUAUUUAGACCCAGAGUACAUGCAAUCAAGUCAGUUGACUGAAAAGAGUGAUGUUUAUAGCUUUGGGGUAGUGCUUGUAGAACUGCUAACAGGGGAGAAACCUUUCUGUUUUGACAGGUCAGAAGAGAAACGAAGUCUCACGG